UGAAGUAUCGGUCUAAGGAAAAAGAUAGUCAUUCCAUUUGUGAUGCUGUGCUGGAAGGAACAGACAACUCUAUUUCUCUAAUGGAGAAUGGAUGCUCACCAAGCUACAACUGAUAUAAAUGGUGAUGAAUUCACCAUGCAGAUGUGCCUUCAGUCUCCGUCCACCCUGCAACUCCUGAAUCUGUUUGGGCCACAGCUCCUGAAUCUAUUUUCUUCACCACGCUAUGUCCCCAUUACACCAUCCGGUUUGCAUCUGGUUUGUGAAGUCCUGAAAAUAAGUAAUAUUCCAGAAGUCUGAAGCAAGUGACAUGUGUAACUCAUCAGCAUUCCAGUUUGUAUAAAGCCUCUUGUCCAGGCCUCAGUCAAUGGAAGUGUGUGUGUGUGUGUGUGCACGCGUGCACACGUGCCUAUAGCAGGAUCAUAAGCAACAACCACGUUUGGAUGCAGACAUUGGUGAUGGGUGUUACCACACAGUCCCAGUGAACACAGACAUCCUAAGUGUAGGUGUGACCCAGUGUGAACCAGAUAAUAAAGUACUAGUGUGGCCUGUUUUCAAAUGUCAGAUUCACUGUCACUCACCACUUUCAGCUUCAGUUUCCCUUCUGAAUGGGAAAACUUUGCUGUAGUCCUAAACCAGC